rnacentral:rRNA from 1 species
UACGUAGGGGCUAGCGUUGUCCGGAAUUAUUGGGCGUAAAGAGCGUGUAGGCGGUCCGGUAAGUCGGCUGUGAAAGUCCAGGCUCAACCCUGGGAUGCCGGUCGAUACUGCCGGCUAGAGUUCGGAAGAGGCGAGUGGGAAUUCCUGGUGUAGCGGUGAAAGUGACGCAGAGUAUCAGGAAGAACACCCGUGGCUAAGGCGGCUCUCUAGUACGGUACUGACGCUGAGACGCGAAAAGCCGUGGGGGAGCGAAACAGG